rnacentral:rRNA from 1 species
GACAGAGGGUGCAAACGUUGUUCGGAAUUACUGGGCGUAAAGCGCGUGUAGGUGGCCAUCUAAGUCGGGCGUGAAAUCCCACGGCUCAACCGUGGAAGUGCACUCGAAACUGGAUGGCUAGAGUCCUGGAGAGGAAGGUGGAAUGCUUGGUGUAGAGGUGAAAUUCGUAGAUAUCAAGCGGAGCACCGGUGGCGAAGGCGGCCUUCUGGACAGUGACUGACGCUGAGACGCGAAAGCGUGGGGAGCAAACAGG